GCAGUGAGGAAUAUUGGACAAUGGGUUAGCGCCUGAUCCAGCCAUCCCGCGUGAAGGACGACGGCCCUAUGGGUUGUAAACUUCUUUUGUAUAGGGAUAAACCUACUCUCGUGAGAGUAGCUGAAGGUACUAUACGAAUAAGCACCGGCUAACUCCGUG
rnacentral:rRNA from 1 species